rnacentral:piRNA from 1 species
UACCGGCGAUGUGGACGAUGUCCGAGGU